CCUACGGGUGGCAGCAGUGGGGAAUAUUGGGCAAUGGGCGCAAGCCUGACCCAGCAACGCCGCGUGAAGGAAGACGGCUUUCGGGUUGUAAACUUCUUUUCUCAGGGACGAAGAAAGUGACGGUACCUGAGGUCUAAGCCACGCCUAACUCUGUGCCAGCAGCCGCGGUAAUACGUAGGUGGCAAGAGUUCUCGGGAUUUAUUGGGUGUAAAGGGCGUGUAGGCGGGAGGGAAAGUCAGAUGUGAAAACUCAGGGCUCAACCCUGAGCCUGCAUUUGAUACUGUGUGUCUUGAGUGCUGGUGAGGCAGUCGGAAUGCCGUGUGUAGCGGUGAAAUGCGUAGAUAUACGGAGGAACACCAGUGGCGAAGGCGGAUUGCUGGACAGUAACUGACGCUGAGGCGCGAAAGCGUGGGGAGCAAACAGGAUUAGAUACCCCUGUAGUC
rnacentral:rRNA from 1 species